GGAAGGGUAAGACCCGAUGCAAGGCAAGGAGAGAGCUCGAGGUGGUGGCUGCUGGUUAGCUCCCUCUGGGCGCGGAUCUGGCCAGAAGUGAAUGCACCAACAUCCAUAACUCCUCGGAAAAGCCGGCUGACUCCCCUCGCUCCUUUCUCGGAUCCGCUGCCUACGCCUCUGGAGCCUCCCGGGCCUGCACCUUUGUAACUGGUUACUUUAUUAAAGUCUCUUCACUUAAAUCAACUGGGAAGAAUUCUGUCCUACUCAGGACACUAACUUCAAACUGCAGUAUAUACCAUCACAGCUUCUUUGGUUUGACAGAACAUUUGGACACAUUUCUGCAAACGGACCCUUGGCAUCUCUUCUUGGAACAAAAUUUUGUAUUUGGACUCUGGCACCAUGCACCACAGAUGCAAGCAAGAAGCACUUCUACCUUCUGAGGCGGCCCCUCAAACUCAAGCCAGCUAGGCUAGGCCUGUCCAGCUUUCCUUCACAAAGAAGGAUUGGAGAGUUGCCGCUUACUGGCUUUCUCAAAUGUCAUUACUUAGCCAGUCUUCUGAAGAUUGAGAUUCAUGAACAUUGGACUCUUGCCUGUAAUUACAAUUCUUAAGUAUAUUAACCUUAUUUUCAGCUGUAUUUUUAGUUGCUUUCUGACUUCAUCUUGAAAAUACCUAUACUCUUUCUGCAUUUAUUCUAAUCUUACUUCUGAUCUUGAUUUUAAAAAGAUCUUUAUCAAUGAAAUCACCUCCAAGAACUAUUUUUGAACUUUAAGAUGUAUUCUUAAAUUUUUAGUAAAAUAGGAUUUAGAAUCAACUUUGUGAAGAUUACUAACAGAAAAAUGAAUAGCUCCUACCAUGAGGCAGUUUAUAGUUAAUGUAAAGAAUAUUAUACUUGUUUAUACAUGAAAAAGCCAUUUUCUUUCUCUAAACCUCAGAGAGCUAUAUAUAUUUAAUGAAUAAAUGAAUGUAUGAUGAAUGAAUUCCUGUCAGUCUUUAGCGAAGUCUUAUCUCUUAUUUGGAAUUCUUUCUUUAUCCCCUAUGUCUUCAUAAAUUCCAACCAAUAUCCAGGAUUAAUUCAAAUUCCUUACAAGGAUCUGAGAAGGGUUGGAGCUGUGGUAUGGGUAUGAUUGGUAGAUAGUUUUGAGCAACACUAUCACCAGAAAAUCUCUAUUUUUCUCCCAGUGACUUUUUGUUGAGGGUUGAAGAGUUUCCUUGAAGGCAAAAAAAAAAAAACUGUACUCAUCCAAAAUGUUACAGAUGUAACUUAUGGUUCAAUAGAAGCCUCUGCAAGCCAGGAUACAGAAAGAAACUUGAACCUUUGCAGAAGCUUGCAGAUUCAGCAACAGAGACUGAGAUAAGAAUGAAAUGGUAAUUCUGGGUAUGGUGUGGUGCCAAGUCCUGAAACCAGUCCCAAUAUACCUACCCUAGAAGCAUGUGGACAUCCUGAGGACAUGAAGGGCUCUAUGUGUGAUCCGGAAAAGGUGUUCCACUAUAUUCUAAAGUAUUUAUGGGCUGUGGUAGGCAGAGAAAAUUAUCCAGCAAAAAUUCAUGAAUUGUUACUGAAAAGUGACUUCUCAGAUAAGUAUUACAUUUCUCAGCUCUCGUCGUCAUUAAGCAUUACCAUGGUGACUCAGAUCUAUCCAGUGGAAUAUUGUAAGAAGUGAUGUUGCUAUUCAAGAUCUGGCUCAUGGAAGUGCUCCUCUGUGAUCUUCUCUCUUUUUUUUCUGCUGCCUAUAAUAAAAACUUCUCCCAGGGAACUUUGGAAGUCUCAUGCAGAAGACAGCAGAAACUUCACCAAUCUGGGUCUCUGUGUGACUGAAAGUAUAAGAGAUGGCAGACCCAUCUACCUGUUCUCUCACCUUUUAGUGUCACAUGAUCAAGAAAUACACUUCUAUUGUCGAGAG
rnacentral:lncRNA from 1 species